AUAAUACUCCCUCCCUUCGGAAAUACUUGUCGGAGGAAUGAAUGUAUCUAGACGUAUUUUAGUUAUACAUACAUCCAUUUUUAUGGAUUUGUCCGGCAAGUAUUUCCGGACAGGGGGAGUAUCUU
rfam:Triticum aestivum genome assembly, contig: Triticum_aestivum_CS42_TGACv1_scaffold_585556_7BL